rnacentral:rRNA from 1 species
UACAUGGGGUGCAAACGUUGCUCGGAAUUAUUGGGCGUAAAGCGCACGUAGGCGGUUCGUUAAGUCGGAUGUGAAAGCCCUCGGCUCAACUGAGGAAGUGCACCCGAAACUGGCGAGCUUGAGUACGAAAGAGGAUCGCGGAAUUCCCGGUGUAGAGGUGAAAUUCGUGAGAUAUCGGGAGGAACACCGGUGGCGAAGGCGGCGAUCUGGGUCGAUACUGACGCUGAGGUGCGAAAGCGUGGGGAGCAAACAGG